GGGCGUAUUCCUUACAGAAAAACACAGUUCCUACUGCAACUUUUUUGGGGAGGUCAUAGGACAAAAGCUUGAUAUAUUCUCCAAGCCAUGCUCUUCUCAUUUUUUUUUUCCUGUUUUAACGCUCUUUUUUUCAAAAUUUGUCUGUGAGCUCCGUCUCUUCUUCGCUUUCCCACGCUGGCUGAAUGUGCCUUGACCCCCUUCAGAGAAGUUUGACACAGAGCAGGAACAUUUCCGCAUUCCUCCCGACUACAAAGACUAACCGCCUCCUUUUGCCCUCCUUGGUUCUUUAUCAUUCAUAGUUCUCUCUCGGUUUUGUCUCAGUGUCAAAACCAGCAGCACCACGGGGGGAAAGCUGGGCAGCAAGAAAAGUGUAUUUGAUGGACCAGUCGAUCUAUCCGGCCAUUGAAAACUAUUCGUUGACAAUACAUCAGCGGGGAAGCAGGGUGACAAGCUCGCCUCUGGCCCAUAAGGUCAGGUUCAAGGACCAGUGGCUUGGGUUGUGUCAGGGGUGAUUCUCCCAAAGCGCUCCUUCGAGGGUGCUCUGUUUCACUGCUUCAUCCAAACGUGAGAUGCCAACUGCACACGUGAGAGAUAGUCCAUAGCUUUAAAUGAGGACCUGAGCCCUAGGACCAUGCCUCAUGACUACCUGACAUGAUGACACCUUGCUGUCCCCAGUCCACCUGGCCAUGCUGCUGCUCCAGUUUCAACUGUUCUGCCUUAUUAUUAUUGGACCAUGCUGGUCAUUUAUGAACAUUUGAACAUCUUGGCCAUGUUCUGUUAUAAUCUCCACCCGGCACAGCCAGAAGAGGACUGGCCACCCCACAUAGCCUGGUUCCUCUCUAGGUUUCUUCCUAGGUUUUGGCCUUUCUAGGGAGUUUUUCCUAGCCACUGUGCAACUACACCUGCAUUGCUUGCUGUUUGUGGUUUUAGGCUGGGUUUCUGUACAUCACUUUGAGAUAUCAGCUGAUGUACGAAGGGCUAUAUAAAUACAUUUGAUUUGAUUUGAUUAGGUAAAUGUGUUAUAACACAGAGGUAAAGGUGCUAUAACUCCUAAAUAAAGGUUCUAUAACUCAAAGAUAAAGGUUCUAUAACUCAGAUGUAAAGAUGUAAUAACACAGAGGUCAAUGUGUUAUAACAAAGAGGUAAAGGUGUUAUAACACAGAGGUUAAUGUUUUAUGACGCAGAGAUAAAUGUGUUAUAAGACAGAGUAAAAGGUUUUAGAAGACAGAGAUAAAUGUGUUAUAACAUAGAGGAAAAUGUGCUAUAACACAGAGGGAAAGGUGUUAUAACAGUGAUAAAGGUGUUACAACACAGAGGUACAUUUGUUAUAAUACAGAUAUAAAUGUGUUAUAACACAUAGGUAAAGGUGCUAUAACUCCUAAAUAAAGGGUCUAUAACUCAGAGAUAAAGGUUAUAUAACUCAGAUGUAAAGGUGCUAUAACACAGAGGUAAAGGUGCUAUAACUCCUAAAUAAAGGUUCUCUAACUCCUAAAUAAAGGUUCUCUAACUCAGAGAUAAAGGUUCUAUAACUCAGAGAUAAAGGUUCUAUAACUCAGAUGUAAAGGUGCUAUAACACAGAGGUAAAUGUGUUAUAACUCAGAGGUAAAGGUGCUAUAACUCCUAAAUAAAGGUUCUAUAACUCAAAGAUAAAGGUUCUAUAACUCAGAUGUAAAGGUGCUAUAACACAGAGAUAAAGGUGUUAUAACACAGAGGUAAAGGUGCUAUAACUCAUAAAUAAAGGUUCUAUAACUCAGAGAUAAAGGUUCUAUAACUCAGAGAUAAAGGUUCUAUAACUCAGAUGUAAAGGUGCUAUAACACAGAGGUAAAUGUGUUAUAACACAGAGGUAAAGGUGUUAUAACACAGAGGUAAAGGUGUUAUAACACAGAGAUAUAGAACAACAGUAAUGGUGGAACAUGAACCGAUAAACAAAGCCAGUGGUUUAUAUGCUCCUUGAGUUUAGUCCCCCUCAACUUCUCUGUUCUCUCCUCAGGAUGAAGAAGAAUAAAGCCUGUUUUGCAGCUUUACCGCCACCGUCAUCCCUUGUUGAAACGUUUAAAUACACCCACAUUACAGUUGAAACACAACACCAGUCGAAGCGAAUACCUUUGUACCAGUAUACCACAGAAUCUGUCAUGACAGUUUCAAGCGCAAUACGUGGAAUGUAGUUUGUUAACCAAACCCACCCUUUUGGGAAUUUACAAGUCUCUUGUUUUUCAGACGAGACCACUGUCAUUGCCCUGAAAGCCACCAUAUGACAAAGUUUGGCAAGAGAGUUUGACAGUUAUGAAUAAGACAUAUAAUUGGCAGCCUUUUAGCAGCCUGAAAGCUGUGGGGUUAAGACAGUUUGUCUCUUUAACCCAAGGCUUAGCAUGGAUAAAGUGAUAACAUAAGCCUGGCUGGAGAGAUAAAGUAGAACAGUAGACCUCUUGGUUGGACUUCCCAGUUGCUGAUGUUUUGAUCGUGGCUCCUGCACUCUGUUGAGGUAAACUAGACAUCUACUGUUGGCUCUCAGGUCAAUGACCUAUAAGCAUUGGUACUUUUCUGAUUGUCUAAUUCUAAAUGUACAGUGUAUAAAAUCUUUAGAUAUGCUGUACCUCAAAUUGGUUCAUUUCAAAAAGAGAGUAUGAGGAAUUUGAGAGGAUCCGGGCUGGGGAGAUUAGGACAGUCCCGUCUUUCUUAAUCCACAGAGAAGAUCACUGUUAUAAACCCUGCAUAAAAUCAGGAGACAAUGCUAGGUUGUUUUCUGUGUUGGCUUGAUUUUCCCUUUUUUUCAAGUCAAACUGAAGACCAGAGAGCAGCCAGCUAGUAAAGCCUUCCCUUCCCCAGCCCAGGCCCCUCAAAACAAGCCUCUUUCUGUUGGGAAUCUCCAUGGAAACCAAGCAACUAACUUGAGGAGGGAUAUAAAACCUGCUCUUUGAGGGACUGAAGGAACACCUGCCACCUCUACAGAUGGGGGUCAAAAUAGACUGACACACAGCCACCUCAUAAUGAACAGAGGGUUGUGUAACAUUUAAAUGAGUCCCCGUCCCGAACAUCUGCUCAUCGUCAAUUACUUAUUCACUGAUAACUCCUAUUUGAUCUGUUAAAACAGACCCAAUCUUUACUGGAAAUCACUUGAUGCAAUAGUGUAGUUAUUUAUGAGUAUUGGUUCAGAUUGCAGAUUGGUUAAAAUGACAGUAAUAACUGAUAUGGACUGUUCAUCAUUCUAAGCUUGAAGAUGUUAGGUGCGUAAUUGAUUAGGGAAUCUGCAUCACAUCUUGAAGUCCGAGAGCUCUGAAGGUUUUGCAAAUAAGAUAUUUGGUUGUGUGGCCGUUAGUUUGUACAUAACAUGGGUUCCAUUGAAAUCCAGCAACUGCAUGUUUCUGGUAGCGACACCACACUAUCCCCUGGCUGUUACUGUCAAAGCAAAGAGCUGCUGUUGGACAUACAUAGCCUGAACAACCUUAAUUAACACCUGCAGAAUAGCCCCGCGGUUGUUAUUUUACUGCUGCUCUUUCAUUGUUACUGUUUUUUUCUUUUUUAAACUGCAUUGUUAAGGGUUGUCAGUAAGCAUUUCACUGUGAGGUCUACACCUGUUGUAUUCGGUGUAUGUGACAAAUAACAUCUGAUUUGAGAACCACAACAUAAAUAAAAGAAAAGUACUGUUAACCACACCAACAUUA